AUGGACCGAGAGCCCAACAGCCAAGGCGCCAAAGAAGAGGAAAUAAAACGUCUCAGACGGUCAGACGCAGAGAAGCACACCUUCACCACUAUUGAAUCACGGCCAGUAUUGAAGGGACGACCAGCGUGGUCUUAAAUGAGGAACAAAGAAUAUAACAAGUGGGGGUAUAGUUCUAUCCCCGCUAUGUGUGAAGAGCAGGACUUUGAAACUUUACAAGCUCCUAGACUACAUAUCCUUGUCUUAUAGCUGUCAUGUGCCUUCCCGGCUGGUUGUUUCUUUUACAAUGGAACCUCAGGCUCAUGUAGCAUCAAAACCUCAAGAGUUCCUAUAGUGGUUAUUGAAGGAAACCAUGAAAUUCAGCGCUAAGUUGCUGGAAUCACUUUGAAAUCCUAUUUGACAAGGUUUUGAAUGCUGAAUGCCUCCAUAUCUGACCUAUCCUGGUGCCCCAAAAAUCAAGGUCUUACAAUCCUGUAAUGGGUUGCUUCUAUGUUCUGAACCUCCUAAUUCUAGAUUUGUCCAAUGUUUCUAUGUCUGCAAUCCCACCACUACAAAGUUCAAGAUCAUUCAUUAUCCUUAUCCUUAUCCGUUCAGGCACGCGCCAUAUGUUGUGUAUCCAGCUUUUGAUCCUUCCCAUUCCACUCCACUUCAAACUGGUGUGCAUUGUUGCAAGCAUUAAACUUGACAUCUAUGAUUCUCAGACCAACACUUGGAACACAUCCCCGGUAAAUUUGAAACCGCCUUAAACGACAUUCUUCGAUGCUGCUGUGUUUUCAGGCGAGCAAUUCACUGGUAUAGUUAUGAACAGACCUCCAUUUCCUUUGAUGUGGACAAAGAGUGCUUCAACUCGAUGCCUAUGCCUCAUUCAUUGAACAAUGGCAUUAUCCAUUAUUUGGAGAGUCUUGAGGCCAUUUAUGUUUGAUAUUGUCCAGCGCAUUAACCUCUUUUGAAGAGUUUGAUGUCUGGGAAUUGGAUGAAAAAUACUCUCAGUGGUCUUUCACAUACCAUAUGAAUCUUGAUUACUUGAGAGCUGCAUUGUGCGGUAGGUAUCAGAUUCCCAGCCAUAGGUUUGAGGCCUGGAUUUUGAGUGUUGUUCCUGGUGCGAACAAAGAGGUGCCAGAAGUUGUGUUGCUGGUGUUUGGUAUGGUUGUUUCCUACAAUUUGAAAAAUGGAACCCUUAAGAAACUUAUGGGUUUGGUUCCUUGUCAAGAGGCUGCUGUUCAUAAUAUAAAGUGUCAUUGGUACAGUGUGUUUCCAUUCAUACAAACUCUCUCUCCCAUAUGAGAACCUAACUUCUCUGCAGUUCUCUUUUGGGUAUGUAUACGCUUUUUUUUACUUUUAUUGCUUUCUCUUUUGUAUGUAAUUUAACUUGCUUUCUCUUGGGCUCUUGGCAAUGGUUUCUCUCCUUUCCUCCUCCAUGCACGAUUGUACUCUAUGUUUCUUUAAAUAUGUGCAUUUGUGCUUUCUCCUUUACAUUUAAAUAUUCAACACAGUUUUUUACAAUAUAUAAUUAUGAAUCCUUGAAGAUGGUCUUUUUUUUUUUUUUUCCUCCCACCAUCAAGCAGACAUGACUUGAGAAGAUAAUAUCACAUAUUGGUGUGUGACCUUGUUAUUUUGAUAGUUUCAAGUUUAUUAUUUUUCUAGAUAUACAACAGUGAUGUAUGUGAUGUUGCAAUGUGUAUACAAAAAAGUGAGUUUGGCAAAUGAAGAUAAUGACACUUUCUAAACAAAAAAGUGAUGUGAUUUUGGAAAGUAUUCCUGAAGGUAGCUUAUUCAUUCUUUUCUUUCUUAUAAAUUGCUUAUAGUGUGAAUGUUGUUAGCACUUGCUAAUGAAGCAAUAAAUAUCAUAAAUAAGAUUGAGUGAAUUGCAGAGUUCAGAUUUAUGCACAAAACUCGAGUACAUUUUCUGCUGAACAGUGAAAAGGUGUUGUUAUCUAUGGCAAUUUUGUAUAUUGCAAGACAGUUGGAAGUUAU